AACGAACGCUGGCGGCGCGUCUUAAGCAUGCAAGUCGAACGGCAAGAGAGGAGCUUGCUUCUCUCCUAGAGUGGCGGACUGGUGAGGAACGCGUGGGUAAUCUACCCUAAGAUGGGGAUAGCCGCUAGAAAUAGCGGGUAAUACCGAAUAGGCUUAUAGCUGUGAAAGAAGUGUAAGGAAAGGAAGCUAAGGCUUCGCUUAAGGAUGAGCCUGCGUCCCAUUAGCUAGUUGGUAAGGUAACGGCCUACCAAGGCGACGAUGGGUAUCCGGCCUGAGAGGGUGAACGGACACAUUGGGACUGAGAUACGGCCCAAACUCCUACGGGAGGCAGCAGCUAAGAAUAUUCCGCAAUGGACGGAAGUCUGACGGAGCGACACCGCGUGAUGAAGAAGGCUGAAAAGUUGUAAAAUUCUUGUGCUGAUGAAGAAUAAAGAUAAGAGGGAAUGCUUAUCAGAUGACGGUAGUCGGCGAAUAGCCCCGCU
rnacentral:rRNA from 1 species